GACGGAGGAUGCAAGUGUUAUCCGGAAUCACUGGGCGUAAAGCGUCUGUAGGUGGUUUAAUAAGUCAACUGUUAAAUCUUGAGGCUCAACCUCAAAAUCGCAGUCGAAACUAUUAGGCUAGAGUAUAGUAGGGGUAAAGGGAAUUUCCAGUGGAGCGGUGAAAUGCGUAGAGAUUGGGAAGAACACCGGUGGCGAAGGCGGCGACCUGGUCCGAGACUGACGCUGAGGCGCGAAAGCGUGGGGAGCAAACAGG
rnacentral:rRNA from 1 species